rfam:Ornithorhynchus anatinus chromosome X1, whole genome shotgun sequence.
UGAUGGUCAUGCACAGUUCUGGGAGAUGUUAUCACGUGCUAUCUCAUUCGGUGAUAUCGUCACCCAGCACCGCACAUGCACAUCA